UUAUUCCUCGUUCACGAACUCACGAACAGCGGUGGCGGCGAUUCCUUGAACUCACCUCCUUCUUUUUCACGACGGCGGCAUCGGGCCUUUUUCCUUCUCGCCGGCGAAAUACCGGCCACUCCCUCCGCUUAGUAUUUGUCUCAAUCGAUUACCUCCUCCUAGUCUAUACGCUCUCGCCUCCAUCUUAACCGAUUGUCUCAGUCCUCAAUCUCUUCUCUUCGCCAAUAACCGAACAAGCACAAGCAUAUAUCGGAGAGGAUAGUGAAUCGGAUUUUCCUACCGGAGCAGCUCGGAGCGCCUUCAUCGGUGCCGUUUGUGCGAAAUCCAACGUCAAGUUCUCGCUGGAUGAAGAUUAACGAUGAUGAUGAUGAAGCGUCGUUGUUGUUGUUGCGAGAUUACGAGACAGUUGCGAUGAUUCUUAGAUGGUGAUGAACGUGCAGAAUUGUCGAUGAUGACGCGGUUAUUGCAGAUCGAGGGAGUGUAGUCGCAAAUGAAGCUUGCAGUUCGAUUGCUAUUAUGGAGAGUUCUUUGACCGAGUGAAGAGAAAUUGAGGAUUGAUGAUAGCGAUGAUGAUUGUUGUGAUGUGAAGAUGAAGUUGCCGAGAGUGAAGAAUUCAGAGGAUGAUGAAUGAGGGGAAUGGUAGAUAAGAAAUGGUUCAAAGGAGGGUUGAAGAUGGAAGGUUAAAGGUGAUAAAGAUCGAGAGGAGUUCAGAGAUGAAGACUGUGAGCAAUGAAUGAAUGGAGAAUGGUGUGAAGAUGUGGUGAAGAAUGGUUCUGUUGAGGAAAAUGAUGGAGAGAAUUCAAUGAUGAAGCAGGUUUCGAUUUUAUAGAAGUGGAGGUGAUUGAAUCUGAGGGACUGGUAAUGGAUUGAUUCGGAAGGAAAGGUGUGCUGAUGAUGUGAUGAACAACCCAAAGGAACACAUGGAGAUCUUUUCCAAGUAAAGCAGAAGGUGAAAUCAGGAUGAAGCUGAAUGAAGUCAUAGCAAUCUUUUAAUAGAUCUCUUUCUUUUUGUAAUGGACUUGAAUUGGUUGGAAGUGUAAAUGGACAUGACUCUUGCAAUGUGUAUUGGGAAUUUGUAAUGAAACUUGGUAAUGGACUAUGAAAUAUGUAAUGGUUUUAUAAUUUAGAA